rnacentral:rRNA from 1 species
GAUGAACGCUGGCGGCGUGCCUAACACAUGCAAGUCGAGCGAAUGGACGAGAACCUUGCUUUUCUGAUGUUAGCGGCGACCGGGUGAGUAACACGUGGUUAACCUACCUAUAAGACUGGGAUAACUUCGGGAAACCGGUGCUAAUCCCGGAUAAUAUUUUGAACCGCAUGGUUCAAAAGUGAAAGACGGUUUUGCUGUCACUGAUAGAUGGAUCCGCGCUGCAUUAGCUAGUUGGUAAGGUCACGGCUUACCAAGGCAACGAUGCAUAGCCGACCUGAGAGCGUGGACGGGCAGACGGGAACUGAGACUCGGUCGCGACUCCGACGGGGAGCAGCAGUAGGGAAUCUUCCGCAAUGGGCGAGAGGCUGACAGAGCAACACCGCGUGAGUGAUGAUGGACUUCGGAUGGUUAAGCUCAGUUGUUAGGGGAGAACAAAUGUGUAAGUGACUGUGCACAUCGUGACGGUACCUACACAGGAAGCCACGGCUAACUACGUG